GGAGUGUGGGCGUGGUGGAGGCGGAGCCAAGGACAGAGUCGGAGGACCAGUUCAAUCUGGGCCUGCUUGCUUUUCUCUGUGUGUUCGGACCCUGCUGUUCUCCAUAGGACAAGCUCUGUGACCCUCGCCUGGGACUGACUGGUCUAUGUUCUUUGGGAACCAAUUUCUCUUUGUGAGGUAGAGCACAACCUCCUAGUCUUCCGGGCGGGCCACUCAUUUACCCUGUCAAACUCAGGGGCGGAGCAAUGGGGAACGAAGCUGUAGGGAGCUGAUAAACUCCCAGUUUGAAAACCGAGAUUGUGAGCCCCAGCAGCGAUUCCAGAUUGCUGCCCUACAGGCAGAUGUGUCUUUAUUGGUCUUUAUCGGUCACAUCAGGGUCUUGAUUAGCGUCUUGAGAACUUGAAGCAAACAAUUGCUUAUGGCGUGUCGUUCUUAGACUUAGCCUAGGCAUACCAGAAGUUUACAACGAAAAAAAAUCAGUAGCAAAGCAUCCUAUGAAGGUAAUGUAUGUAGUACAAGGGUUAAAAUCCUGAAUGCCUCUUAAUAGAUGUGUGGCCUUGAGAACAUUUCACUUCCUUGAGCCUCAGUUUCCUGAUCUAUACCAGGAUGCAGAUAACCAUCUGGUAGUGUGGCUGCGAGGGCUAGAGUUUAACAAACGUAGUUAGGCACUGUUAAGUAAAAGACAACAAAUCCAUUUGUUACUGAAUCUAGUGGAUGAGAAACCAUGUAAGGAAUUUCAGUUUGUUUUAUUUGUUUAAAGCAGGAAGAUGGCAAUCCAAGAUACUCGAAUUCUCUACUUACACAGUCCUCCCGCCUGAAGUAUGAACGGAGAAACAGAUGGAGAAAAGAAUAGUCUUAUUAACCACAAGGUGGCACACUAGAAGGCGGCAAGCAGGCUUUUGCUUUUCAAUGUCCAUCUUGCCCUUUUGCCCUGUUUUUCAAGGGAAGGUAUGUGGGCCCCAAACAGGUGGAGCCCUCGGUGACCCCGUGUUCCAAAGAGCAGCCUGUUCUGGUGUCCUGGCUCUGCACAUCUUACCUUCUUUAUGUAGAGCCGUGAGGUGUUCAGUUCAACACUUUUGUGUUGAUUAAAAUUAAAAUGUCUGGUUAUUGCUGAGGUCAGCUUUUCUGGCAAGCAUCAACUCCAGGAAAUUGACCUCUCGUAACCUGAGACAAGGGAGGAAGGGGAGGGACUAUGUUUUUAGCUAACUUCAAUGACCAGGUGUUCGACAAAAGGUAAAUUUCAGUGGGCAGCUAAUUCUGGAGAGUGCAGUAUGGAAUAUGCAGAAAUGGGGGUAUAUGCAUGGUUUUAUUCCCAGGAAGCAGUUUUGGCUUUCUUCUUAUUUGUGUGUUAAAGUGUCAUAUGGGAGUGAUUAGGGGUGGGAGAAAGUUUGUCAACAUGAAGUCAGGAUGUGGAUAUUCACUGUCCAGACUAUAUAAGAAGCAAAAUUGGAAUCAAGUAGGAGGAUCUUAUAUGCAUGCACGCUCUCCAACACACACACACACACACACACACACACACACACACACACACACACACACACACACACAUCAGGGGCAGGGGAGGGUUCCUUAAAUAGUAGAGCAUAGAGGAAGGGUAGGGAAGUUCACUGCAGUUCUACAUCUGCCCUCCAGAACCUUGGUUCUUGUGGAAGCUGUAAUGAAUAAGGACUAGUAAGGGAGAGGCAUAGCCAGGAGGUUCACUGGGAGGCUUGGAUUAUUUGUAAAAGCCAAUGUUGGAUCUAGACGUCAGUGUUUGCUCUUUAUAGACAGGCACAGUCGUGAAGCUUCAAGCUGCUAGCUGUUUCGAUAGCAUCUCAUGGAGAUCUCAUUGUCCAGGUGAUACUGACAGUUCACUCAGGGAUAUUCUAGGGUGAGGAUUCAAGACUCGUCUUUAUUCAUGUAAGGAGAAAAACGGGAAUGUCUUUAUCUUAGCAGGAGAGCUCAUUUUCUCCUUAGGAAACAGUGUCAAUGGUUUUUAGACUUACUAAUUGGAAACCAGGAGGCUGGUGUGAUCUGAAGAGUUCUAGCUUCCGAGGGGCCUUUCAUGAGUCCACAGGACCCUGCCUGCUAAUAGACCUGCAUGGCUAAUAGAACAUUCUGCCAUGACGGAAAACUUCCUGUGUUCUGUCCAGUAUGGCAGCGCUGGCCACAUUUGACUGAUGACUGCUUGAACUGUGGCUGCUGUGAGUGAGAAACUGAGCUCUAAUUUGUACUUAAUUUUGCUUUUGAACAGACAGCUAGUUCUGUUAGUAGAAAAACUGUAAGUAUAUUUGAAAAACUUGGGUAGAGGAGCUCUUGAGAGGGUUCAGUUAGUAAAGGCUCAGGCCACCAAGUCUGACUGACUGAGUUUGACUCUCAGGAUCUGCAUAGUAGAAAAGAGUACUGACUCCUUAAGUUGUCCCUUAAAACACACACAUGCACACACACAUACACACUCACUGAAUAAAUGUGAUUUAAAAGGCAUACACAUAUCCUUUGGGUUCUAAAGACUGCAACAUCUAAAUAUAGAUCAAACACUUCUGAUGAAGACUUUGUGUUCAAGUUGAGAUCUAAUAUGUUUUGUAUUCUUACAUAUUAAAAACCAUAAUAUUCUGGGUUGACUAGCUAAAAUAAAACAUGGAAAUCUG
ensembl:lincRNA I830134H01Rik RIKEN cDNA I830134H01 gene